rnacentral:lncRNA from 1 species
GUAGCUUCAAAAAAGCAGCCACCGAGUAGCACAGCUCCUGGGUGUGUAACAGACGACAUUGACACUGUUAAUGGCAGCUUUUUGCAGUUUCUGGAGCUGUGCCAUCCCAAAUUGCUCCAGGGGUCAAUCCACCUUGGGGCUGGGGAAAAAGCACUGGAGGAAGGUUCAGUCGGUGUGAGUUACGGCCUCAGUUCCGUGAGACGGCGCCGGUACUGGAAGGAACAGCAGGCUUGGACCCGAGAGAUCUUGUCUACAAAUACGUCUUUUUACAACACAUCAUUUAACUUUUCUUGCCUCCAGUUUAUUAAGGUGGGUACCUCCAGUGUCUCUCACUACCUGGUUCCACUUGUUGACCAUGUGACUUCUCUGGGUGGCAGUUUCCUUAUCAGAGAAGCGGAGCUAAUGGCACGCACCUUGCCAAUUUCAUCGGAGGGUGAGGAUCAAUGAACAAAUCAGAAGUGAGUUCACCAUCAAGCUCCUGAAGAUUGAACAUCAG